rnacentral:rRNA from 1 species
GAUGAACGCUGGCGGCGUGCCUAAUACAUGCAAGUCGAGCGAACAGACGAGGAGCUUGCUCCUCUGACGUUAGCGGCGCACGGGUGAGUAACACGUGUAUAACCUACCUAUAAGACUGGGAUAACUUCGGGAAACCGGAGCUAAUACCGUAUAAUAUAUUGAUCCGCAUGGUUCAAUAGUGAAAGACGGUUUUGCUGUCUCUUAUAGAUGGAUCCGCGCCGCAUUAGCUAGUUGGUACGGUAACGGCUUACCAAGGCAACGAUGCGUAGCCGACGUGAGAGGGUGAUAGGCCACCCUGGAAGGGAGACAGGGUCCAUGCGCCUACGGGACGCAGCAGAAGGGAAUCUGCCGCAAUGGGCGAAAGCAUUACGGAGCAACGCGGCGUGAGUGAUGACGGUCUUCGGAUCGUAAAACUCGGUUAUGAGGGAAGAACAAAUUUGUAAGUAACUAUGCACGUCUUGACGGUAACUAGUCAGAAAGCCACGGCUAACUACGUG